CAGAAGGGGGAAGAGCUAACUUGCUGAGUCACUUGGCCUUCGUCUUUAUCCCGUGCUGGAUGCUUCCUGCCCUCGAACAUCAGAUUCUGAGUUCUUCGGCCUUCAGACUCUUGGGCUUAAACCAGUGGUUUGCCGGGGCUCUUGGGCCUUUGGCCACAGACUGAAGGCUGCACUGUUGGCUUCCCCAGUUUUGAGGUUUUGGGACCUGGACUGAGUCACUACUGGCUUCCUUGCUCCUCAGCUUGCAGAUGGCCUAUUGCGGGACUUCACCUUGUGUCCAUGUGAACUAUCUUUCCCAGCUACUCAGGAAGCUAAGGUGGGAGGAUCACUUGAGCCUAGGAGUUCAAGACCAGACUAGGUAACAUAACGAACCUCAACUCUAAACAACAAAAAAGUUUCCAAGAUGUUUAAGAGUGAUCAUAAGAGCUUGCCCACAUUGUGAAGAUGGGGAAUUUAUAAAGGUGGGGUUCUAAAGUAUUUGGAAAAUUUUAAGGUGUUAAACUUAUUUUAAAUCUAUUUGCUAAGUUAUUACUUGAAUGAAACCAUUGUAGUAGUAGAUAUUUCCUAAAUUUAAUAAUUGUUAUAAAUGUUAUAUGCAUGCUCAGAUAAAUUUUAUUUGGUUAUCAAUGCCAAAUUGUUUCAUAAGGGGUAAUAAUAUGAAUAACAUGACUUCUAAUAUUGAGGCAAUAUACUUGUACUUUUAAGUGCUUUUUAAAAGGUUGUAUGUAUUAGAUUGAAACACAUGACUCCAUUUUUGUAGGUCAAAAACGUUCAAGUAUUGGGAAUUUCAUAUAGUUUAAUGUAAAUAAAAAGUCAAGGAAGAAUUUGAUUUCUAUUCUUUAUCCUAGCUAAGGCUUUUUUUUUUUUUUUUUUUUUUGAGAUGGAGUUUCGCUCGUUACCCAGGCUGGAGGGCAAUGGCACGAUCUCGGCUCACCGCAACCGCCGCCUCCUGGGUUCAGGCAAUUCUCCAGCCUCAGCCUCCUGAGUAGCUGGUAUUACAGGCAGGCACCACCAUGCCCAGCUAAUUUUUUGUAUUUUUAGUAGAGACGGGGUUUCACCAUGUUGACCAGGAUGGUCUCGAUCUCUUGACCUCAUGAUCCACCCGCCUAACCUCCCAAAGUGCUGGGAUUACAGGUGUGAGCCACUGCGCCUGGCCCUCUAGCUAAGGCUUUUAAUCUCUAAGUCCCAGUUUCUCAACUAUAAAUUGGGUGUGAUGCAAUCUGCCCUUCCAAAAAGUAAAAAGUAUUUUUCUCUCUUGUUUUAUCCCUCUAUGUAUGUCUGUCUCCUACCUGCCUAUCUAUACAU
rnacentral:lncRNA from 1 species